CUGACAGUAUUCCUUUCUAAACUCUGAUGUUUGUCUGUAUGCGCUUCCCCAAAAUAAAUAUACAGUCAUAAUAUGGGGGAGAGGGGUACAUGUGUGUUUGAAGACUUGAACUGCAUUAAAAAAAAAAAAAAAAAAAAAAAAGAUUUCCAUCUGUAGACCAGUAGUCAGAAUCCUCAGGGCAAAAAUGAUACAGUUUUCCUUAGACACUGUGAGAGACUGACUCUAUUUCGCCUGGAAUCUGUGAACAGUCACCAGACCAGAGAGCAUAAAAAGAAACAUUAAAAUGUGCACCCUUAAUGGCACUGGGCAUACAGUUGGCAGAGGGGAGAUUGCUAAUGAAUUUUACAAAAAUUUCAAAUUCUUUAAAUUAAAUCAUUUUUUGUUCCAGGUAUGGCAUGCAGCUUUUCUGCAUCCUGCAACACUAAGCUAUGGAAACAUGCUUUGUUCACAGUCAACUAGCUAGAGUUGGAAAAGGAUCUCUAAACAAAGUCCAAAUUAUUCAAUUUAACC
rnacentral:lncRNA from 1 species